rnacentral:rRNA from 1 species
GACGAACGCUGGCGGCGUGCUUAACACAUGCAAGUCGAACGGAAAGGCCCUGCUUUUGUGGGGUGCUCGGGUGGCGAACGGGUGAGUAACACGUGAGUAACCUGCCCUUGACUUUGGGAUAACUUCAGGAAACUGGGGCUAAUACCGGAUAGGAUCUCCUGCUGCAUGGUGGGGGUUGGAAAGUUUAGGCUGUUGGGGCUGGAUUGGCGGCUUAUCAGCUUGUUGGUGGGGUAGUGGCUUACCAAGGCUGUGGCGGGUAGCCGGCAUGUGAGGGUGAACGGCGACCUGAGGACUACGGGAGGGAGCAGAGGGCAAUGGGAGGCAGUAGUGGGGAGCAUUGCCCAAUGGGCGGAAGCCGGAUGCGACAGCGCUGCGUGCGGGAAGCCGGUCUUUGGGGAAAAAACAGCUUCAGGCUGUGACGAAGCGGGAGUGACGGUAACGGAUGAAGAAGCACCGGCUAACUACGUG